AAACUUUCAACAACGGAUCUCUUGGUUCUGGCAUCGAUGAAGAACGCAGCGAAAUGCGAUAAGUAAUGUGAAUUGCAGAAAUUCAGUGAAUCAUCGAAUCUUUGAACGCACAUUGCGCCCCUUGGUAUUCCGGGGGGCAUGCCUGUUCGAGCGUCAUUA
rnacentral:rRNA from 1 species